rnacentral:rRNA from 1 species
GACGAACGCUGGCGGCGUGCUUAACACAUGCAAGUCGAACGGAAAGGCCCUGCUUUUGUGGGGUGCUCGAGUGGCGAACGGGUGAGUAACACGUGAGUAACCUGCCCUUGACUUUGGGAUAACUUCAGGAAACUGGGGCUAAUACCGGAUAGGAGAUCCUGCUGCAUGGUGGGGGUUGGAAAGUGUCGGCGGUUGGGGAUGGACUCGCGGCUUAUCAGCUGGUUGGUGGGGUAGUGGCGUACGAAGGGUUUGACGGGUAGCCGGCCUGAGAGGGUGACCGGCCACAUUGGGACUGAGAUACGGCCCAGACUCCUACGGGAGGCAGCAGUGGGGAAUAUUACACAAUGGGCGGAAGCCUGAUGCAGCAACGCCGCGUGCGGGAUGACGGCCUUCGGGUUGUAAACCGCUUUCGCCUGUGACGAAGCGUGCGUGACGGUAAUGGGUAAAGAAGCACCGGCUAACUACGUG